AGAGUUUGAUCAUGGCUCAGGACGAACGCUGGCGGCGUGCCUAACACAUGCAAGUCGAACGGAGCUAUGUCUGAGCUUGCUCAGAUAUAGCUUAGUGGCGGACGGGUGAGUAACGCGUAGGCAACCUGCCUCAGACAUCGGAAUAACACAGGGAAACCUGUGCUAAUACCGGGUAACACGAUCAGAAGGCAUCUUUUGAU
rnacentral:rRNA from 1 species